UACGUAGGGGGGCGAGCGUUGUCCGGAUUUAUUGGGCGUAAAAGGCUUGUAGGUGGCCACGGCAAGUCGGAUGUGAAAUCUCCCGGCUCAACUGGGGAGGGUCACGCGAUACUGAUCGACUCGAAGGCAGGAGAGGGUAGUGGAAUUCCCGGUGUAGUGGUGAAAUGCGUAGAUAUCGGGAGGAACACCAGUGGCGAAGGCGACUACCUGGCCUGUUCUUGACGCUGAGGCGCGAAAGCUAGGGGAGCAAACGGG
rnacentral:rRNA from 1 species